rnacentral:tRNA from 1 species
GCGCCCGUGGCUCAACGGAUAGAGCAACGGUCUUCGGAACCGUGGAUUGCAGGUUCGAGUCCUGCCGGGCGCACCA